rnacentral:rRNA from 1 species
AGUGAACGCUGGCGGUAGGCCUAACACAUGCAAGUCGAACGGCAGCACAGUAAGAGCUUGCUCUUACGGGUGGCGAGUGGCGGACGGGUGAGGAAUACAUCGGAAUCUACUUUUUCGUGGGGGAUAACGUAGGGAAACUUACGCUAAUACCGCAUGCGACCUACGGGUGAAAGUAGGGGAUCUUCGGACCUUGCGCGAUUGAAUGAGCCGAUGUCGGAUUAGCUAGUUGGCGGGGUAAAGGCCCACCAAGGCGACGAUCCGUAGCUGGUCUGAGAGGAUGAUCAGCCGCACUGGAACUGAGACACGGUCCAGACUCCUACGGGAGGCAGCAGUGGGGAAUAUUGGACAAUGGGCGCAAGCCUGAUCCAGCCAUACCGCGUGGGUGAAGAAGGCCUUCGGGUUGUAAAGCCCUUUUGUUGGGAAAGAAAAGCAGCAGGUUAAUACCCCGCUGUUCUGACGGUACCCAAAGAAUAAGCACCGGCUAACUUCGUG